rnacentral:rRNA from 1 species
CCCUUAGAUGUCCUGGGCCGCACGCGCGCUACACUGAUGCAUUCAACGAGUUUUACCUUGGCCGAGAGGCCUGGGCAAUCUUUUAAACCUGCAUCGUGAUAGGGAUAGAUUAUUGCAAAUAUUAAUCUUGAACGAGGAAUUCCUAGUAAGCGCAAGUCAACAGCUUGCGUUGAUUACGUCCCUGCCCUUUGUACACACCGCCCGUCGCUACUACUGAUUGGAUGUUUAAGCGAGGUUCUCGAACUGCUAGCGACUUAGCUUCGGUGAGGUCGCAGUGUGGGAAGUGAACCUAGCUUUGGUGUCUAGAGGAAGUAAAAGUCGUAACA